GCAAAACAUAACAGUAAGCAGGAAAAUUACAGUACCUAAAACAGAAAAGAAGAUAGUAGGAACUUGCAGAACAUAACUUCUGCUAGUGUUCUUCUAAUAAGAGUCCAUGCAAGUGGCAAUCAGCAACAAUGCUUCACCGUACACCUCUUUGCCUUCUUCACAGAUUUCUUCUCUGUUUUCUCUUUUCUGUUGAUCUUAUCAAUUCUCGCAGUGAUAUCUUUCUUCGCCCUCUUCUCUGCAUCCACCUUCUUCUUCUUCUUUAUCUUAUUCACCACGGUCUUCUCCUCCAUAUCACCAUCUUCAUCAACUAAGUUCUCAUUAUCAUCAUUCAUAUCACCAUCUUCGUCAACUAAGUUCUCAUUAUCAUCA
rnacentral:misc_RNA from 1 species